rnacentral:lncRNA from 1 species
UGUCAGUCUGUCGACCAAGCAUAAUUUAAUCCCUUAUAUAUGAAUUUUUAUAUGUGUGGCUUUGCUUGUAAAUAGUCUAUCUGGUUGCAUUGCUUUGUCUCCUCUAGGACUAUGCACCAUGACAUGCCACAUUCUUUUUUUCAGUACUUCUUGCCUGUAGUUAUUAAAAUCUAGAAUUUACAAGUUUUAACCAUUUUCUUUCUGUUGAUCUUGCUUUUCGGUUUUGGAGGUUGGGGAUUGAGUACUGGAAGAAAAUUUAGAGGGAUGGGAAUACUGUACGCAAACAAAAGUAAUAUUUACUUUAAAAUUUUUAUAUUUUGUAUUUUUUUAUCAUAUAGCUUUUACAUCACAUUUUACAGACUAACUUUAGAACAACCACAGAAUGUCCAACAUUAAAACUACUAAUUCCAAAGACCUUGCCUCACAUUCUUUUUUACAAUAAAUAUUUUUUACACCUAACAUUCUUUCUUGGCCUACAUCUAGAAUGUAAACUGAUGUACCAUACUAAAAUCGCCUGACCAACUGUCAACAACAACAAAUCACACACACAAAAGAUUAAAUUUGAAUUGCAUCGUUUACUUAAAUUCAUUUGUGUUCCAGCUUUUAAUAAGGCAGUUUUUGGUUUAUAAAGUAAUAUUUGCAUUUUAAAAAUUAUGAAAAUGAAUAUGUCAGUUUGUUUUAUGAUUCGUUUUUCUUGACUCUUAUACAAGCGACUCUAACUGGCAUAGACAUUUGUUAUCCACAGACAGUAUAGAUAUGUUAGAGAUGCCAAUGGACUUGGUCUAUGCCAAGGUGACUACUCACAAGCUCUGGGCCCAGCUGAAGGUCAAGUAUUUUUUUUCCAGUUAUAGAUGUGCUGGAUCUGAUGUAUAGCGCUUGACUUUUUAUAUUUUCUUUAUCUGUAGGAAACAAAUGUGUUGGAGGUACUGGGUCUGACGAAUAGCAUAAAAGAAUAAAGUUACAUUACUGUCUGAGGAUCAGAUGGACAGGGGGUGGUAGCUCAGUCCAGCUAUUUUCCACUCCCUCACUUACAUUCUUUGCCCCCUCCUCAACAGAACAAGGAUUCUGCUGUAACUCUUCAUUGACAGUUGAUAUUUAAAAAUUAACGAAUGGAUGAAAUUCUCAUUUGUGAAAGAAAAUUUAUUGAGCAUUUUGUAUUUUUGUUCAGUUUGUCAGGCCUCUGAGCCGAAGCUAAGCCAUCAUAUCCCCUGUGAACUGCACGUAUGCCUCUAGAUGGCCUGAAGUAACUGAAGAAACACAAAAGAAGUGAAAAUGCCCUGUUCCUGCCUUAACUGAUGACAUUACCUUGUGAAAUUCCUUCUCCUGGCUCAUCCUGACUCAAAAGCUCCCCCACUGAGCACCUUGUGACCCCCACCCCUGCCAGCCAGAGAACAACCCCCUUUGACUGUAAUUUUCCACUAUCUACCCAAAUCUUAUAAAACGGACCCACCCCAUCUCCCUUCGCUGACUCUUUUCGGACUCAGCCCGCCUGCACCCAGGUAGAAUAAACAGCCUUGUUGCUCACA